AGGUAAUAUAACCAAUAUAUGUUGGCAGUCGUCAUAAAUUAAAGAAGCUCGCCCCAUAAUCGUAAACACCCGAUAACUUUCACUUGUCUUACAAAAUCUAUAUACCGCCGUCAAGAAUUUACCUAUAUAAAAACUCUAACCCUAUUAACAGUUAAAGUCAGGUCAAGGUGUAGUACAUAGUCAAGAACAGGUAAGCUACACAUAAAUAAAAAUUAAGGAUAUUAUACAUAAGUUAUAUGGAAAAAGAAUUUAUACGUAAAUAAUAAUUAAAAUC
rnacentral:rRNA from 1 species